rnacentral:rRNA from 1 species
GACGAACGCUGGCGGCGUGCUUAACACAUGCAAGUCGAACGGAAAGGCCCUGCUUUUGUGGUGUGCUCGAGUGGCGAACGGGUGAGUAACACGUGAGUAACCUGCCCUUCACUUUCGGAUAACUUCAGGAAACUGGGGCUAAUACCGGAUAGCAGCCCCUGCUGCAUUGUGGGGGUUGGAACGUUUCGGCGGUUGGGGAUGGACUCGCGGCUUAUCAGCUUGUUGGUGGGGUAGUGGCUUACCAAGGCUUUGACGGGUAGCCGGCCUGAGAGGGUGACCGGCCACAUGGGGACUGAGAGACGGAGCAGACUCGUACGGGAGGCAGCAGUGGGGAAUAUUGCACAAUGAGCGGAAGCCUGAUGCAGCAACGCCGCGUGCGGGAUGACGGCCUUCGGGUUGUAAACCGCUUUAGCCUGUGACGAAGCGUGAGUGACGGUAAUGGGUAAAGAAGCACCGGCUAACUACGUG